UGGCAAUCGUACCAGCAGUAUUUAUGACCGGCGCACUCAACUGGUCUUCACCAGAUUAUCUGCCAACUUUACCUCUGAAACCCACCUACCAAGCUCUCCUGGAUACCAGUUUGCUGCCGCCGGUAAUCCCUCUCCGUUUUGGAGCUGCCAUUCUCGCCUGCCUGCCUCCCUGCAUUGCAUGCAGCACCCACCUGGACCUCUCCUGCCUCCCCCCUCCACGCAACCCCCACCUGCAAGCUUUGCCCUGGCCCGCCACAGUUUCCCCUGCCCAGUACCUGCACCCAGUUAUCCCUGCCAUCUAGUUAUCAUCACAGUAUUUUUCUCUCGCCUCAGACAUCUAGUUUAUGUUCAUUGAUUCUAGUCUGCACUUUCUGUUAGCCUCUGAGCAUUGUAAAAUAAAAUCUCUUUUCGUUACACCUC
ensembl:lncRNA